UACGGGGGGGGGCAAGCGUUGUUCGGAAUUACUGGGCGUAAAGGGCUCGUAGGUGGCCAACUAAGUCAGACGUGAAAUCCCUCGGCUUAACCGGGGAACUGCGUCUGAUACUGGAUGGCUUGAGUUCGGGAGAGGGAUGCGGAAUUCCAGGUGUAGCGGUGAAAUGCGUAGAUAUCUGGAGGAACACCGGUGGCGAAGGCGGCGACCUGGACGGACACUGACGCUGAGACGCGAAAGCGUGGGGAGCGAACAGG
rnacentral:rRNA from 1 species